GAUGAACGCUGACAGAAUGCUUAACACAUCAGCAAUUGAUUGGUGGCGGACGGGUGAGUAACGCGUAAAGAACUUGCCUCACAGCUAGGGACAACAUUUGGAAACGAAUGCUAAUACCUAAUACUGUGAGAGAGCUUUGCGUCCCAUUAGCUAGUUGGAGAGGUAACGGCUCACUAAGGCGAUGAUAGGUAGCCGGCCUGAGAGGGUGAUCGGCCACAAGGGGACUGGGACGCGGCCCUUACUCCUACGGGAGGCAGCGGUGAGGAAUAUUGGACAAUGGCCCAAAGUCUGAUCCAGCAAUUCUGUGUGCACGAUGAAGUUUUCGGAAUGUAAAGUGCUUUCAGUUGGGAAGCGGUACCAACAGAAGAAGUGACGGCUAAAUACGUGCCAGCCGCCGCGGUAAUUC
rnacentral:rRNA from 1 species